AACACAUUUGGAAGCAUCUUGAGUGCCUGAAGGAGACAGAUCCCUGAGAAGAGCCAGAGACAUAGGGAGGAUGCAGGACUACCAUUACCAGCUCUGAAAACUGCUCUGUAACUCAGCCAAAGGAGACAAAAUCAGAAUAGCUGCUCAGCACCACUACACUGUGGAAGAAACACAUCGCUUUCUUCCUCUGUACUGGAGUGUAGCAACACAAAGACACAGCCAACAAUUUCACUUGGUGGUCUGAUGAACUCUCAUAAAUGCCUUGUUUACAGCAUAAGAAUUCCCACCCAAUGGCUUCAAUCUUUAGGUAGAAAUUUGUCACUUGCCUACCUCUAAAUGCACAGUCCAGAAGAGUAAAAACAGCAACAAU
rnacentral:lncRNA from 1 species